AUGGAAUAUUACCAAGCACCCUCCACUAUUUCGGAUAGUAUUUAUGGUUCUACCUUUUUCUUAGCAACUGGCUUUCAUGGUUUUCAUGUGAUUAUAGGUACUCUUUUCUUGAUCGUAUGUGGUAUUCGCCAAUAUCUUGGUCAUCUGACCAAGAAGCAUCACGUUGGCUUUGAAGCAGCUGCAUGGUACUGGCAUUUUGUAGACGUGGUUCGGUUAUUCCCAUUUGUCUCUAUCUAUUGGUGGGGAGGUAUAUGA
rnacentral:rRNA from 1 species